rnacentral:lncRNA from 1 species
GCAUAAAAUGUGCUGAGUAGUUGACUCAGAGAGAAAGAAGGACAAUAGUUUAAUAACAGUUUUAUACAAAUUCAUUUCUUCCAACAUUAAGAAGUAAGAGGGAUCGAGUUAGAGAGAGAUCUAGCUCUAUUUGGUUGUAUUUUUUAUAAACUUUCACUUUUACUUAGCUAGUGAAUGUAGCUGGCUAGUUUAGCCUACUCAAACACCCAGCUCAAACAGUGAAGGAUGAUUUGUUAGCUAGCUGGCUAUGGCUAUCCAACACUGGAAUUCUUCCAAGACAAGAAUAGCCUGAGCCAGUUUGAUAGACCAGAGCAGAGCAGACACAGCCAGUGAUCGCCACCCCACUGCACUCAUUGUCCUGUGAAUCCUCCUAUUGCCCUCUAGUGGUGGAGACCAUGGAUGCAGGGUGUACUGCAGUCAACAGUCCUGAGAACAACUGUUUCACAGUGAACCAG